UGUUUGAUCCUGGCUCAGAGCGAACGUUGGCAGUGUGUCUUAAGCAUGCAAGUCGAACGGCAGCAGGCCAUAUAGCAAUAUAUGGUGCUGGCGAGUGGCGAACUGGUGAGUAACGCGUAAGAAUCUACCCUCUGGUGGGGGAUAACUCAUGGAAACAUGAGCUAAUACCGCAUGAAGCCGAACCCAUAGUGAUAUGAGCUUGGUAAAAGGAGAAAUCCGCCAGUGGAUGAGCUUGCGUCCCAUUAGCUAGUUGGUAGGGUAAGAGCCUACCAAGGCGAUGAUGGGUAGCUGGCCUGAGAGGGUGGUCAGCCACACUGGGACUGAGAUACGGCCCAGACUCCUACGGGAGGCAGCAGCUAAGAAUCUUCCUCAAUGGGGGAAACCCUGAAGGAGCGACACUGCGUGCAGGAUGAAGGCCCUUUGGGUUGUAAACUGCUUUUGUAGGGGAGAAAUAACCGAAUGGGAUGAUAUACCCUACGAAUAAUCCC
rnacentral:rRNA from 1 species